rnacentral:rRNA from 1 species
CUGCUGCCUCCCGUAGGAGUUUGGGCCGUGUCUCAGUCCCAAUGUGGCCGUUCACCCUCUCAGGCCGGCUACUGAUCGUCGCCUUGGUGGGCCGUUACCUCACCAACCAGCUAAUCAGACGCGGGUCCAUCUCAUACCACCGGAGUUUUUCACAUCGGACCAUGCGGUCCUGUGCGCUUAUGCGGUAUUAGCAGUCAUUUCUAACUGUUAUCCCCCUGUAUGAGGCAGGUUACCCACGCGUUACUCACCCGUCCG